rnacentral:rRNA from 1 species
UGGCUGGGGGUGAAAGGCCAAUCAAACCGGGAGAUAGCUGGUUCUCCCCGAAAGCUAUUUAGGUAGCGCCUCGUGAAUUCAUCUCCGGGGGUAGAGCACUGUUUCGGCAAGGGGGUCAUCCCGACUUACCAACCCGAUGCAAACUGCGAAUACCGGAGAAUGUUAUCACGGGAGACACACGGCGGGUGCUAACGUCCGUCGUGAAGAGGGAAACAACCCAGACCGCCAGCUAAGGUCCCAAAGUCAUGGUUAAGUGGGAAACGAUGUGGGAAGGCCCAGACAGCCAGGAUGUUGGCUUAGAAGCAGCCAUCAUUUAAAGAAAGCGUAAUAGCUCACUGGUCGAGUCGGCCUGCGCGGAAGAUGUAACGGGGCUAAACCAUG